rnacentral:rRNA from 1 species
UACAGAGGUCUCAAGCGUUGUUCGGAUUUAUUGGGCGUAAAGGGUGCGCAGGCCGCAUGGUAAGUCUGGUGUGAAAUCCUGGGGCUUAACCCCAGAAUUGCACUGGAUACUGCCGUGCUAGAGGACUGGAGAGGAGAUUGGAAUUCACGGUGUAGCAGUGAAAUGCGUAGAUAUCGUGAGGAAGACCAGUGGCGAAGGCGAAUCUCUGGACAGUUCCUGACGCUCAUGCACGAAGGCCAGGGGAGCAAACGGG